rnacentral:tRNA from 1 species
UAGUGACAGAUAAAUGUAUUAAAUUUAAGAUUUGAAUAUGAAAUUUUUUCCUUUAGAA